AAGCUUGACAUAUGGUUAAGAGAAGUAGGUAGCUCUCUAAUGGGAUUGCAUACAAUCACAAUAACACUCAAUUAUUUAAGGGUCUAUUUGUUUACCAGGAAAACAUUUUCCGGAAAAUGUUUUCUUGGUUUUCCAGUGUUUGUUUGCUUGAAAUCACUUACAUUGGUAAAACAUUUUCAGAAACAUUGAAAAAUGAGAAGGGAUUUGGGGAAAAUGUCUUACUGAUUUUAUUUCUGUAAGACAUUUUCCAUCCUUCCUCCUCCUUCCGUCCUUCUCCUUCUUCAUCCAAUUGGACCAGUUCCCUUCCUGAAACAAAGCUCAAGAUGGAUCGUAAUCAAGAUCAAAAGGCAAUUGUCGGAGUCAUGGCUUCAGUUUUAGUUUUUGGGGCUCUUUGGAUUAAAAAAUUAAAAACUAAGAAGGAAAUUGCUUCUCACCCUCGUGUGAAUCGAGAUUAUGAAAGAGAAAACUAUAUUAAAUUUGUGGGUGAACAACUUGGCAAAAUUGCUAAUGCUUUGGAAUAAUUUACUGCGGAUAAGACACCACAUCUUUACGAAGAAGUGAUGUCGAUGGAGGAAGAAGGAUUUGAUGAUGACUUCCUAUGUUCUGUGUUUGAUUAUCUAGUGAGUCAUGAAUCCGAGGCCAAAACUUUUUUAGUUAAAAGUAAGAAGUAUAGAAAAAUUUGGCUUCAAAAAUUUUCUUCAUGUUGAAGAUAUUGACACUUUUAAUGUGGUGAAAUAUCAAUUAUGCACUUGGACAAUGUGUAAUAUUAGUUAUGCACUUGGACAAUGUUGUUAUUGUGUGAUAUACUACUGUAGCGACGUAAAAA